UAUAAUGUUUUGACUCUUCGUCUUAUUUAAAUUUUUUUACGAUUAAUAUUUUUAUUCUUACUUGAUGAUAAAACAUAAAUAGUACUUUAUAUGUGACUAAUUUUUUUAAGUUUCUGUACAAAUUUUUUAAAUAAGAUAAAAAAAGUCAAAUAUUAAACACGGAAAAACA
rnacentral:pre_miRNA from 1 species